UGGGGAAUCGUGGGCAAUGGGCGCAAGCCUGACCCCGCAAUGCCGCGUGAGGGAAAAAGCCCUUCGGGGUGUAAACCUCUGUCAGAUGGGAAGAUGGGACUAGGGGCUAAUACCUCCUGGUCUUGACGGUACCAUCAGAGGAAGGGACGGCUAACUACGUGCCAGCAGCCGCGGUAAUACGUAGGUCCCGAGCGUUGCGCGAUGUUACUGGGCGUAAAGCGUCCGUAGCUGGUUUCGUAAGCGGAUUGUCAAAACCCGAAGCUCAACUUCGGCAAGGCAUUCCGAACUGCGUUACUUGAGUCCUGUUCAGGUAGGCGGAAUUCCCGGUGUAGCGGUGAAAUGCGUAGAUAUCGGGAGGAACACCAGUGGCGAAGGCGGCCUACUGGGACGGUACUGACGGUCAUGGACGAAAGCUGGGGGAGCAAACCGGAUUACAUACCCGGGUAGUCCCAGCCGUAAACGAUGGAUGUUAGGUGUAGUGAUAACUUCGCUGCACCCCACCUAACGCGUUAAACAUCCCGCCUGGGGAGUACGGGCGCAAGCCUGAAACUCAAAGGAAUUGGCGGGGGCCCGCACAACCGGUGGAGCGUCUGGGUUUAAUUCGAUGCUAACCUAAAAACCUUACCAGGUUCGAAAUGGUAGGAAAGGCUGUCAAAAGACAGCUGUGUUUCCCUUUUGGGAGAAAUCCUACCACAAGUGGGGCAUGGCCGUCGUCAGCUCGUGUUGUGAGAUGUUGGGUUAAGUCCCGCAACGAGCGCAACCCUUGUCCUUAUUUGCUUCCUCGUAUGAGGUGCUCUAUAAGGAGACUGCCGGCGACAAGCCGGAGGAAGGAGGGGAGGACGUCAGGUCAGUAUGCCCUUUAUGCUGUGGGCUACACAGGCGGUACAGUGGCAAGGACAAUGAGUAGCAAGAGCGCAAGCUCAAGCUAAUCUCACAAACCUUGUCGUGGUGGAGGAAGAAGGUUGAAAAUCACCUUCAUGAAGCCGGAAUCGGUAGUAAUGGCGUAUCAGCUAUGUCGC
rnacentral:rRNA from 1 species